rnacentral:rRNA from 1 species
UACAGAGACUGCAAGCGUUAUUCGGAUUCACUGGGCGUAAAGGGUGCGCAGGCGGUCGGGUGUGUCAGAUGUGAAAUCCCGAGGCUCAACCUCGGAACUGCGUCUGAAACUACUCGACUAGAGUACUGGAGAGGGUAACGGAAUUCACGGUGUAGCAGUGAAAUGCGUAGAUAUCGGAAGGAACAUCAGUGGCGAAAGCGGCUUCCUGGACCAGUACCGACGUUCAGGCACGAAAGCGUGGGGAGCAAACAGG